ACUUCUGGCAUUACUGUGGCGAUUCCUUGAUGGUGGCAGAGCACAGAGAACCAGGAUUGUUGUGCUGCGUUGGAGCCACGCUGCAAAUGGCCCUUGUGUUAAGGUGCAUCUAGUGCAGUUAGUGAAGUAGC
rnacentral:miRNA from 12 species